GAUGAACGCUGGCGGCGUGCCUAAUACAUGCGAGUCGAGCGAACGGACGAGAAGCUUGCUUCUCUGAUGUUAGCGGCGGACGGGUGAGUAACACGUGGAUAACCUACCUAUAAGACUGGGAUAACUUCGGGAAACCGGAGCUAAUACCGGAUAAUAUUUUGAACCGCAUGGUUCAAAAGUGAAAGACGGUCUUGCUGUCACUUAUAGAUGGAUCCGCGCUGCAUUAGCUAGUUGGUAAGGUAACGGCUUACCAAGGCAACGAUGCAUAGCCGACCUGAGAGGGUGAUCGGCCACACUGGAACUGAGACACGGUCCAGACUCCUACGGGAGGCAGCAGUGGGGAAUCUUCCGCAAUGGGCGAAAGCCUGACGGAGCAACGCCGCGUGAGUGAUGAAGGUCUUCGGAUCGUAAAACUCUGUUAUUAGGGAAGAACAUAUGUGUAAGUAACUGUGCACAUCUUGACGGUACCUAAUCAGAAAGCCACGGCUAACUACGUG
rnacentral:rRNA from 1 species